rnacentral:rRNA from 1 species
UACGUAGGGUGCAAGCGUUUGUCCGGAAUUAUUUGGGCGUAAAGAGCUCGUAGGCGGUCUGUCACGUCGGCUGUGAAAUCCCGAGGCUCAACCUCGGGUCUGCAGUCGAUACGGGCAAACUAGAGUAUUGCAGGGGAGACUGGAAUUCCUGGUGUAGCGGUGAAAUGCGCAGAUAUCAGGAGGAACACCGGUGGCGAAGGCGGGUCUCUGGGCAAUAACUGACGUGAGGAGCGAAAGCGUGGGGGAGCGAACAGG